UACGGAGGAUCCAAGCGUUAUCCGGAUUUAUUGGGUUUAAAGGGUGCGUAGGCGGCCUAUUAAGUCAGGGGUGAAAGACGGUAGCUCAACUAUCGCAGUGCCUUUGAUACUGAUGGGCUUGAAUGAACUAGAGGUAGGCGGAAUGAGACAAGUAGCGGUGAAAUGCAUAGAUAUGUCUCAGAACACCGAUUGCGAAGGCAGCUUACUAUGGUUUAAUUGACGCUGAGGCACGAAAGCGUGGGGAUCAAACAGG
rnacentral:misc_RNA from 1 species